AGCUUUGUGCAGUGGCAGUAUCAUAGCCAAUGAGGUUUAUCCAAGGCGCGAUUAUUGCUAAUUGAAAAAAAAAAUUGUUAUUGUUUUCUCCUUUCUAUGUCCAUGAUGGUUUACAUCUUAAAAGAAAAUAUUUUAUUAUA